rnacentral:rRNA from 1 species
GUAAUGACUCUCGGCAACGGAUAUCUCGGCUCUCGCAUCGAUGAAGAACGUAGCGAAAUGCGAUACUUGGUGUGAAUUGCAGAAUCCCGUGAACCAUCGAGUCUUUGAACGCAAGUUGCGCCCGAAGCCAUCAGGUUGAGGGCACGUCUGCCUGGGCGUCACGC